GGUAUUUUGCAGAUAACGCACAAACGGUCAUAUUGCAUAUUUUGUUGCACUGUAGCCGUAUUUAAUGUUUUAGUCCGUAUUUAUGUAAAAAACAAACUACGUUGGAGCGAAGCACAUCAAUGUGCACAAGGCUGUUAAAUCUAUAAUCAAAUAGAGUCCGCUAACUGGAAUACCGUGCUGGAUCACAUCGCCUCUGGAAGAUUUGACGAGAUACUUGAGAUCGAAGUAUUUGAAACCCAUAGAACGCAUAGCAGCUAUGGACGUCGAGGAAACCUACGAGUCACAAAGCACAACUGAGACGCCGCCACAGCAGGGACCGUUGCAGCAGCAUAAUUUUAUUCACCAACAG